GGAGGGAUACCGAAGUGGUCAAACGGGGCAGACUGUAAAUCUGCUGGCGUUGCCUUCGAAGGUUCGAAUCCUUCUCCCUCCA
rnacentral:tRNA from 1 species